rnacentral:rRNA from 1 species
ACAUGCAGUCGAGCGAAUGGAUUAAGAGCUUGCUCUUAUGAAGUUAGCGGCGGACGGGUGAGUAACACGUGGGUAACCUGCCCAUAAGACUGGGAUAACUCCGGGAAACCGGGGCUAAUACCGGAUAACAUUUUGAACCGCAUGGUUCGAAAUUGAAAGGCGGCUUCGGCUGUCACUUAUGGAUGGACCCGCGUCGCAUUAGCUAGUUGGUGAGGUAACGGCUCACCAAGGCAACGAUGCGUAGCCGACCUGAGAGGGUGAUCGGCCACACUGGGACUGAGACACGGCCCAGACUCCUACGGGAGGCAGCAGUAGGGAAUCUUCCGCAAUGGACGAAAGUCUGACGGAGCAACGCCGCGUGAGUGAUGAAGGCUUUCGGGUCGUAAAACUCUGUUGUUAGGGAAGAACAAGUGCUAGUUGAAUAAGCUGGCACCUUGACGGUACCUAACCAGAAAGCCACGGCUAACUACGUGCCAGCAG